rnacentral:lncRNA from 1 species
UGAGGUUGGGGUGCUGGUGUGUGGUGGUGGUAAUUGUGGUAAUCCCAAACCAACAACCUGCUCCCAUUCUUAGAAUCACAGGAUCGCAGAAUGGCCUGGGUUGCAAAGGAGCACAGUGCUCAUCCAGUUCCAACCCCCUGCUGUGUGCAGGUCACCAACCAGCAGCCCAGGCUGCCCAGAGCCACAUCCAGCCUGGCCUUGAAUGCCUGCAGAGAUGGGAUGAGCAUCCACAGCCUCCUUGGGCAACCUGUUCCACUGCCUCACCACCCUCUGCAUGAAAAACUUCCUCCUCACAUCCAACCUAAGCCUCCCCUGGCUCACUUUAAAACCAUUCCCCCUGUCCUAUCACCACCCACCCCUGUAACCAGCCAUUCCCCCUCCUAUUUAUAUGCUUCCUUCAAGUAUUGGAGGGCCACAGUGAGGUUUCAUGGGUCUCCUUCAGCUUACAAUACACUUUAUAAGACAAAGGCUUGUUGGUGAAUGUCUGAGAAUAAAAAUGGGAAGGGGAGAAAGAUGAUCACAAAUGAGAAGAGAAUAUAAUUACGAUGCACAAAUAAAAGGAGAUGAACAUGAUAAGGAAAACCCCCAGAAGGUUCCUGAAAGAGAUGUUACAAGAAGCAGACGAGCUUAAUGAAUCAAGAAGUCUGUUUGAAAGGUUAUUUUAAUUUUGAGAUGCUCUGAUCAGCUUCCAACGAAGAUGAGGUGAGCGUAGAGCAGCUGCCUUUGUCCUUGAGAGCAUCCGUGUGUGUGUAGGUCUGCGAUUGGGUCUGUAGCUGGGAUGUGCUGGGGAGCUGCCACUGUCCGUGCAGUGUGGAUCCUCAGGCUGACUGUAGGAGUGCAGAGCAGUGCAGAACAGGGCAGGUGCUUUCCUCAUGCUUCGGUGGGUGCCUUGGGCAGGUGCAGACCCGGGUUGUUGGGCAGAGGCUGCGGUGCUUUGGUUCUGUGUGUGUAGGUCUGCGAUUGGGUCUGUAGCUGGGAUGUGCUGGGGAGCUGCCACUGUGCGUGCAGUGUGGAUCCUCAGGCUGACUGUAGGAGUGCAGAGCAGUGCAGAACAGGGCAGGUGCUUUCCUCAUGCUUCGGUGGGUGCCUUGGGCAGGUGCAGACCCGGGUUGUUGGGCAGAGGCUGCGGUGCUUUGGUUCUGUGUGUGUCCAGAUGUCUUUCUGCAAGGCAGAGGGGAGGGAAGGAAGGAGCAGCCUCCUGCCCUGCUGCCCUGUGCUGCCCUCCCCUGCACAGCCCUGCUCACCGGGUUGCUGCUCUGCCAGCCAUUUCCAUGGCCGUGUGGGGCUGCCUGUGUCCCCAGGGCUGUCGUGGGGGCACGGAGACCAGAUGGAGAGCUGAGGACAGGCGUUUGUCCUGCUCUGGUUCCAUCUUGGUGCGGAUGCCCAUCUGCAAGGCAGAGGGAAGGAAGGAAGAAGGGAGCAGCCUCCUGCCCUGCUGCCCUGUGCUGCCCUCCCCUGCACAGCCCUGCUCACCGGGUUGCUGCUCUGAAAAUGGUUUCCUUGGCCAUUUGGGG